rnacentral:rRNA from 1 species
UACCAGCGCUCCGAGUGUUCUCGACGUUUAUUGGGCCUAAAGCAUCCGUAGCCGGUUCUGCAAGUCUUCCGUUAAAUCCACCUGCUUAACAGAUGGGCCGCGGAAGAUACUAUAGAGCUAGGAGGCGGGAGAGGCAAGCGGUACUCGAUGGGUAGGGGUAAAAUCCGUUGAUCCAUUGAAGACCACCAGUGGCGAAGGCGGCUUGCCAGAACGCGCUCGACGGUGAGGGAUGAAAGCUGGGGGAGCAAACCGG